CCUUGUAGAGUCCACAAGCCAGACCCCAGCGGAGCUGUGGAGCCAGAGGAUCGUGAGGAGCGGCCCCUCCCAAAAGGACUCUGGCUGUUGACUGCCUUAGAGAAGGAUUGCUGUGUGGCUCCUUGCGGUUUACUGCUCAGAAAAUAAACCUGGUAAAUGAGGGUGCAAUGAGGACUCACUUGUUAACAGGCCAGUCCUGAAGAAGAGAGGCUCCCACUAGACAGGAGGAGGUCAUGCCGGGAAAGGAAGUCCAACCCAGAGGAACGCCCAGCGUCUCUAAAGGCCGCAGACAGUGACCGAGGAACAAGAUUGACUUCCUGGAAGAGUCAAGCGAAAAGAUCCACUUCCUCCAGGCAAAGCCGGAUACCGCAGCACCGCCUCUGCAAGAGCACAACGUGGAGGCCAGAUACCCCCGAUAUUUACUACCCAACCUCCCCCGGAAUCUGGACACACCCCCAGCCUCUUCAGCCAAAAAGCUCUUUGUGGAAACGGACUAGAGUUGCCAUUACCUAAUUGAAAUGGACUUGACUCACUCUAUUCAAGUCAGUCAAAAUUCUUCAAAGGAAGAGGAAAGGAAGUGCUUUAAGUCAAGGUAAACCUUACAGCACUGAGUGUUACUGAAAUUCAAUGGCUAGUCAAAACGGGCCUGGGGAAUGCUUAAUAUUCUCGCUGCCCCAAAGCUCUUUCUUCCUUCCCUGGUCUGAGUGAGCAGAGGGCCAUGAAUGAAUGCUUGGUCAUUGAGGGUAGUGCCCGCAGACUGGUGGGUGUAUGCCCGGAACCUGGGACUGGGGAGGGCAGGCGGGUUAACCAGUCUGAGCGGUGAGACGGCUUGAUUCGGGGUAUGUGUGAAUGGACCAGUCAAAUAAAAAAGCGAAAGCAUGGGGUAAUGACCAGUCAACCAAUAGGCACUGCUGAAAAAUAAGAGACGCCUGCAGAGAGGAAAUACAAUCAGCCAGGAAGAAUGAAACCAAUAGGGUAAAAAAACCCACCCACACACAGAAAUCUUAUUCUGUCAAAGGGUUACAAAUGACGGUGAACACUCAUCUUCUAGUCGUCCAUAUCCAUUUGUGAUCGUAAUUCAUUUCUGGGCCAGUAAUCUGCACUGGGAAAAGGGAGUCCUGGGUUCUACUCCCAGCUCUGCCUGGAACUGACAGUCACUCAGCUGACAAGUGGGUUGCACGCUGACCUGUCUACUCCUCGUUGGUGUCUGUGCCCCACUGGGGCUGUGAUGGAAGAUGCCAUCAUCAUCACCUGACCACCUGUAGGCCACACAAGCCCUCUCCUCUCAUCACCCCAGGCAGCAAACACAUCUCCUGAGCCUUUAUGUAAGAAGAAUGGAAUGUGAAAUCAGCAGGUUAUGCACCUAAAGCAUCGGGUCCUGGGAGAGUUACGAUAACCAGGAGUUCACUUAACAAGAACUUAGCCAUCUUGGAUGGGUGCUCACCUGCUUUUUAAAAAAAUUAUCUGAAUAAACCAGUCAGAUAGCCAGAUUUCAGUUGAUAAUUAUUAUAUUUGUUAAGCGCUUAUUAUGAGCCAAGUGACCUGUUCCUUACACAACAGGAUUUUGUGCAGAAGUAACAAGUCAGGGACUUGUCACCUCUAGGCUGUAAGCUCCUUGUGGGCAGGGAAUGGGUCUCCCAACUCUGAUAUACUGAACUCUCCCAAGUGCUUAGUACAGUGCUCUGUAUGCAAUAAGCACUCAAUAAAUAUGACAUUGAUUGACUGGGGAAAGACAAGCAGGCUCUCAGAGGCAAGGCUGGGGCGCUCAGCAGGGUUUUCUGAUCCAAAAUCAGUCAGUUCCUUUAGUGUGUGAAAGUUGGCCCUUUAGGCAGGAACGAAAAAAGUUAAAGAAAAAAGUCUGCUAAAACAACUCUAAGGAAGUCCUACCGGUAUUUUGACAAGAGAGCAAAACUGCCGAGUUCUCAUUUUUGUGCGCUGGCAGUAAGGGUAUAAAUCUACUGCCCAAGAACCAUGGAACCGGCAGAGUUAUGGUUCAUUUCACCCCGGAUUCCAAGGGAUGGCAAAAAAGAAUUGUUCUUAAUCCUUUCAGAGAUGCUCAGGUAUUAAAAUAGGCUGCCCACCACCACCUGAUUUCCCGUGUGCAACGAAGUGGCCUCCAACCUGAUGUCGUUAAAACCGUAAGGGUUACAAAUUACUCUUGCAUUCCAUCACCCUACUUUGCACUUCCCUUUCUCGGCAGAGGGUGGUAACCACAAAAGGAAAAAAAAAAAGAAUCCCCCAAAAGCACUAUAUUUACUUGGAGGCUGUUUCGGAGUAAGUGAUUAGCGGGGAAGAUUCUACCAGGUCUGAACUUUCACGGUUAUGGGGCGGGAGAGUGGACGGGGGAAUGCCACCCUUGUUCAGAACACAGCUUGGUGUUUCUAAUCCACCCAUCUCUGGCUCUGGGGUAUUUCCCACUCAGAAAAUUCCUUCAUUAGAAAGCCAUAAAUUCCGUCAAUACUGAAAAUACACCGUGAGUCCUAAAUGUAGAGCUGUCCUUUUACCUCAGAGAAGACGUAACGGGAGGGGAAAUUCGCCUCUGGGUGCUUGUGUGGGACCCUCAUUCCAGAGGGCAGCAAAUGCCUGUGCGCACUCAGGCACACACAUAGACGCGGACCGGCCCCAUGCUUUUUGUUUAUUUGUUGUUUGCGGCACUCAGUGUUUUCACUUUUGCCUCCCGAAAAUGUACAGUCCUAAAAAUAUCCUGACUAUUGGGCAAGAACAGCUGUUCAUGCCGAUAACAUUUCUGUGGCCCCACAGACUCCCGCUGAAAGGGAAAUAUCAGAGACUUGGUUCUUCUGGGUCCCAGCACAUCCUUACAAAGUGGCCCCUGUCAGUAGCUUGCGGGACCAGGGCCAUUUUAACUAGAACUAGCCCGGCACCCACUCUCUUUCAUGAAAGGGGAAGUUCAGCGCUCGUCUGCUAAGCAGUAUCAUCGCAAACCCGCCCGCAAUCGAUUCUCCAACUGUAAGACUUCCUGCUCUGAACGGGGCUGCUGCCUCUUUCACUUUGGUAGUAUGCUGGAUUUUAAAAAGCUUUCUAAAAUACUGUGCACCCAAGGAGGCUAAGGGAUAUACACAAACUUGCUAUGAUCAUGCCAAAGAGAGGCCGAGAAAUGCAGAAUUGAGUAAACUAAUAGAUGCGACGAUAAAUCGACACCAUCUUAAUUUCCGUUUAAAUGCACUUAAACCAGCUCGUGAACAUUAGCUGCUUUCACACCAAGCAGUGAAAAGUCUCUGGAGGACAUUAAACUCAUUGUUAACGUUUAAACUUCACGGCUUCUCGAGUCCUGGUACUGAUUUAACACGGGGAAUUCUCAGCUAAAAGAUUGAAAUAUUAAGUUGGUAGACACCAGUCAAUCUGCAAAAGGUGUUUUGUUCCUGGAUUUAAUCUACCUUGGAAUAGGCCAAGAGGGAGAACGCGAAUGACUUGUUGCAAAAUUUUGAAACUUGAGGGAGAGCACACUCGACGGAUUUAAAGCCCCACAAUUCCCUUUCCAGUUCUGACCACUGGAAUGCCAUUUAGACCAUGGUCAGGCUUCUUAGCGUUUCCUCGCUCCAGUUUCUUUUCCAAUAAUAGAGGAAUGAUACCUCGUCGCUACCUGCCCCCAGGACUGAUGAGAGACUGGGAAAAACACAUCUACACAAACCAAAUCUGAAAUGCGAGUGAUUACUGGAAGAGUUAACCUGCCACAAAGAGCAUUAUGAAGACAUGAAGGUGACUGCCAGAAAACCCAAGUAGGACAAAUUCUUCACUAGAGAUGAAAACCCACUUCCGUAAGGUAUCAAAACAAUUUUCUACUUCUGGAGCCUCCUACCUGGACCCAUAAAUCAUACUACAGCUCAUUUAGAUAAUGCGGUGUUAUGCUUUGAAUUACUUUAGCAGAGUUCAGAUAAUUCCUUAAUGAUGCCUAAUGAAACA